rnacentral:rRNA from 1 species
ACGGCGAGUGAAGCGGCAACAGCUCAAAUUUGAAAUCUGGCCCUCGGGUCCGAAUUGUAAUUUGUAGAGGAUGAUUUUGGUGCGGUAUCUUCCGAGUUCCUUGGAACAGGACGCCUUAGAGGGUGAGAGCCCCGUACGGUUGAAUGCCUAGCCUCUGUAAAUCUCCUUCGACGAGUCGAGUAGUUUGGGAAUGCUGCUCUAAAUGGGAGGUAAAUUUCUUCUAAAGCUAAAUAUUGGCCAGAGACCGAUAGCGCACAAGUAGAGUGAUCGAAAGAUGAAAAGCACUUUGAAAAGAGGGUUAAAUAGCACGUGAAAUUGUUGAAAGGGAAGGAUUUGUGACCAGACUUUUUCUGGGCGGAUCAUCCGGGGUUCUCUCCGGUGCACUUUGCCCAGUAAAGGCCAGCAUCGAUUUUCGGCGGCGGAUAAAAGCAGUGGGAAUGUGGCUCCCUACGGGGAGUGUUAUAGCCCAUUGUAUAAUACGCUGCUGGGGAUCGAGGUACGCGCUUCUGCAAGGAUGCUGGCGUAAUGGUUAUCAAUCACCCGUCUUGAAACACGGACCAAGGAGUCGAACAUUUAUGCGAGUGUUUGGGUGUUAAACCCUCACGCGUAAUGAAAGUGAACGGAGGUGAGAGCCCGUACGGGUGCAUCAUCGACCGAUCCUGAAGUUUUCGGAUGGAUUUGAGUAAGAGCAUAACUGUUCGGACCCGAAAGAUGGUGAACUAUGCGUGGAUAGGGUGAAGCCAGAGGAAACUCUGGUGGAGGCUCGCAGCGGUUCUGACGUGCAAAUCGAUCGUCAAAUCUGCGCAUGGGGGCGAAAGACUAAUCGAACCAUCUAGUAGCUGGUUACCGCCGAAGUUUCCCUCAGGAUAGCAGUGUUGUCUUCAGUUUUAUGAGGUAAAGCGAAUGAUUAGGGACUCGGGGGCGCUUUUUAGCCUUCAUCCAUUCUCAAACUUUAAAUAUGUAAGAAGCCCUUGUUACUUAAUUGAACGUGGGCAUUCGAAUGUACCAACACUAGUGGGCCAUUUUUGGUAAGCAGAACUGGCGAUGCGGGAUGAACCGAACGCGGGGUUAAGGUGCCGGAGUGGACGCUCAUCAGACACCACAAAAGGUGUUAGUACAUCUUGACAGCAGGACGGUGGCCAUGGAAGUCGGAAUCCGCUAAGGACUGUGUAACAACUCACCUGCCGAAUGUACUAGCCCUGAAAAUGGAUGGCGCUCAAGCGUCCCACCCAUACCUCGCCCUCAGGGUAGAAAUGAUGCCCUGAGGAGUAGGCGGCCGUGGAGGUCAGUGACGAAGCCUA